GACGAACGCUGGCGGCGCGCUUAGCACAUGCAAGUCGAACGGAAAGGCCUGCUUUCCCUUGUGGAUUGCGGGUACUCGAGUGGCGAACGGGUGAGUAACACGUGAGUGAUCUGCCCCCAACUUGGGUAUAAGCCUGGGAAACUGGGUCUAAUUCCCGAUAGGACUGCAGGGUGGUGCCUGUGGUGGAAAGCGAUUUUCUAGUGGUUGGGGAUGAGCUCGCGGCCUAUCAGCUUGUUGGUGGGGUAAUGGCCUACCAAGGCGGCGACGGGUAGCCGGCCUGAGAGGGUGGACGGCCACAUUGGGACUGAGAUACGGCCCAGACUCCUACGGGAGGCAGCAGUGGGGAAUAUUGCACAAUGGGCGGAAGCCUGAUGCAGCGACGCCGCGUGGGGGAUGACGGCCUUCGGGUUGUAAACUCCUUUCGACCGCGAGGAAGCCACCUGGUUGGAAGGGUGGUGACGGUAGUGGUAGAAGAAGCACCGGCUAACUACGUG
rnacentral:rRNA from 1 species